rnacentral:rRNA from 1 species
AGUGAACGCUGGCGGUAGGCCUAACACAUGCAAGUCGAACGGCAGCACAGUAAGAGCUUGCUCUUACGGGUGGCGAGUGGCGGACGGGUGAGGAAUACAUCGGAAUCUACUUUUUCGUGGGGGAUAACGUAGGGAAACUUACGCUAAUACCGCAUACGACCUACGGGUGAAAGCAGGGGAUCUUCGGACCUUGCGCGAUUGAAUGAGCCGAUGUCGGAUUAGCUAGUUGGCGGGGUAAAGGCCCACCAAGGCGACGAUCCGUAGCUGGUCUGAGAGGAUGAUCAGCCACACUGGAACUGAGACACGGUCCAGACUCCUACGGGAGGCAGCAGUGGGGAAUAUUGGACAAUGGGCGCAAGCCUGAUCCAGCCAUACCGCGUGGGUGAAGAAGGCCUUCGGGUUGUAAAGCCCUUUUGUUGGGAAAGAAAAGCAGCAGGUUAAUACCCCGCUGCUCUGACGGUACCCAAAGAAUAAACACCGGCUAACUUCGUG